AUCGCAAGACCUCGCGCGAUUGGAGCGGCCGAUAUCAGAUUAGGUAGUUGGUNGUAAAGGCUNACCAAGCCGACGAUCUGUAGCUGGUCUGAGAGACGACCAGCCACACUGGGACUGAGACACGGCCCCAGACUCCUACGGGAGGCAGCAGUGGGGAAUUUUUGGACAAUGGGCGCAAGCCUGAUCCAGCAAUGCCGCGUGCAGGAUGAAGGCCUUCGGGUUGUAAACUGCUUUUGUACGGAACGAAACGGUGAGCUCUAAUACAGUUUGCUAAUGACGGUACCGUAAGAAUAAGCACCGGCUAACUACGUG
rnacentral:rRNA from 1 species